rnacentral:lncRNA from 1 species
UUUUCUGUUUUUGAAGUUAGGCCGAUGAGAAUGGAGAUUGCAGAGAAUGAAUUCUAGUUUUUACUUUUUUCGUAUGAGGACUUAACUUUAACAUAAUUAUAAAAAUGACCCCAUCUUUUAUUUUUAUGUAAUGAUAUAAAAUUUCCUCACAUAAAGUAUAUAAAUAUAACAAAAUUAAUUUUUGUCACAAAAGUUUGUCACAAAUAUUACUAUUUCU